CAGAUGGACAGAUCGGAACUGCUGGGGAGCCUGGUGAUCCUGGACAGACUGGACCCCAUGGAGAUCGUGGACCAAAGGGUGACAAAGGAAGAGAUGGGUUCAACUAUCCGGGACUAAGAGGAGAAACGGGAGUCAGAGGGGACAAUGGACGUCCAGGCCCUUGGGGAAGCAGAGGAAUUGUGGUAACAAAGGAGAAGCUGGGUUGAAAGGACCAAACGGUGAACCGGGACAUCCAGGUCAACAGGGAGUGAAUGGGAGGAGAGGAUCCAGAGGAGGCCCUGGAGCUCCUGGUAAUCCUGGACCAGAGGGAGACCCUGGCCUUUCUGACUGUGAUGUUAUGAGCUACAUCAGAGAGACAUGUGGUUGUUGUGGUAAGUGAUGAUGAUUUAGGACUGUGGUGUUAUGAGCUACAUCAGAGAGACAUGUGGUUGUUGUGGUAAGUGAUGAUGAUUUAGGACUGUGAUGUUAUGAGCUACAUCAGAGAGACAUGUGGUUGUUGUGGUAAGUGAUGAUGAUUUAGGACUGUGGUGUUAUGAGCUACAUCAGAGAGACAUGUGGUUGUUGUGGUAAGUGAUGAUGAUUUAGGACUGUGGUGUUAUGAGCUACAUCAGAGAGACAUGUGGUUGUUGUGGUAAGUGAUGAUGAUUUAGGACUGUGAUGUUAUGAGCUACAUCAGAGAGACAUGUGGUUGUUGUGGUAAGUGAUGAUGAUUUAGGACUGUGGUGUUAUGAGCUACAUCAGAGAGACAUGUGGUUGUUGUGGUAA